rnacentral:rRNA from 1 species
AUCCUGGCUCAGGAUGAACGCUAGCUACAGGCUUAACACAUGCAAGUCGAGGGGCAGCAUGAUCAAAGCUUGCUUUGAUUGAUGGCGACCGGCGCACGGGUGAGUAACGCGUAUCCAACCUUCCCUAUAGUAGUGGAUAGCCCGGCGAAAGUCGGAUUAAUACACUAUGUUAUUCAACGAGGACAUCUGAAAUGAAUCAAAGGCUUGCCGCUAUAGGAUGGGGAUGCGUCUGAUUAGAUAGUAGGCGGGGUAACGGCCCACCUAGUCGACGAUCAGUAGGGGUUCUGAGAGGAAGGUCCCCCACAUUGGAACUGAGACACGGUCCAAACUCCUACGGGAGGCAGCAGUGAGGAAUAUUGGUCAAUGGGCGCGAGCCUGGACCAGCCAAGUAGCGUGCAGGAUGACGGCCCUAUGGGUUGUAAACUGCUUUUAUACGGGGAUAAAGUGCACCACGUGUGGUGUUUUGUAGGUACCGUAUGAAUAAGGACCGGCUAAUUCCGUGCCAGCAGCAGC